UCCUAUGAUGGCAUGAAAUCUUUGAGACCUGAUUGUCUAAUUUGAUGACAGCUAUAAGCAUAAUCACUGAGGAU